CCUCUCUAAUGAAUAAAAAGUAUUUGUCAGCAGUAAGGCACACUUUUUAAAAAAGAAGUUUCUUAGUAAAGGAAUAAGUGCCUCUAAAGUCGAGCUUAACAAAGUUUGAUAGGUAGAAGAACUGACACCAGUAACUGAAUCUGAGCCAAGUUUGAUAAGAUUAAAUCUGGAGCCCAAUAUACAAACAUCCUUAAAGCGAUCCAGUAAAGUACCGCAUC
rnacentral:lncRNA from 1 species